rnacentral:rRNA from 1 species
AGUGAACGCAGGCGGUAGGCCUAACACAUGCAAGUCGAACGGCAGCACAGUAAGAGCUUGCUCUUACGGGUGGCGAGUGGCGGACGGGUGAGGAAUACAUCGGAAUCUACUUUUUCGUGGGGGAUAACGUAGGGAAACUUACGCUAAUACCGCAUACGACCUACGGGUGAAAGCAGGGGAUCUUCGGACCUUGCGCGAUUGAAUGAGCCGAUGUCGGAUUAGCUAGUUGGCGGGGUAAAGGCCCACCAAGGCGACGAUCCGUAGCUGGUCUAAGAGGAUGAUCAGCCACACUGGAACUGAGACACGGUCCAGACUCCUACGGGAGGCAGCAGUGGGGAAUAUUGGACAAUGGGCGCAAGCCUGAUCCAGCCAUACCGCGUGGGUGAAGAAGGCCUUCGGGUUGUAAAGCCCUUUUGUUGGGAAAGAAAAGCAGCAGGUUAAUACCCCGCUGUUCUGACGGUACCCAAAGAAUAAGCACCGGCUAACUUCGUG